GACGUAGGGGGCAAGCGUUGUCCGGAAUUACUGGGCGUAAAGCGCGUGCAGGCGGCUUUGUAAGUCCCGUGUGAAAGCCUACGGCUCAACUGUAGGAGGCCGCGGGAUACUGCGAGGCUCGAGGGCAGGAGAGGGAAGUAGAAUUCCGAGUGUAGAGGUGAAAUUCGUAGAUAUUCGGAAGAACACCAGUGGCGAAGGCGACUUACUGGACACAUAUUGACGCUGAGGUGCGAAAGCGUGGGGAGCAAACAGG
rnacentral:rRNA from 1 species